rnacentral:rRNA from 1 species
UACGGAGGGUGCAAGCGUUAUCCGGAUUCACUGGGUUUAAAGGGUGCGUAGGCGGGUAAGUAAGUCCGUGGUGAAAUCUCUGAGCUUAACUCAGAAACUGCCGUGGAUACUAUUUGUCUUGAAUAUUGUGGAGGUGAGCGGAAUAUGUCAUGUAGCGGUGAAAUGCUUAGAUAUGACAUAGAACACCAAUUGCGAAGGCAGCUCACUACACAAUCAUUGACGCUGAGGCACGAAAGCGUGGGGAUCAAACAGG